UAAUCGGGGUGCCGUAUGGCUGAGAUUAUACCCGUUGAACCUGUAAGAUAAUGCUUGCGUAGGGAUUGGAG
rnacentral:ncRNA from 1 species